UACAGAGGUCUCAAGCGUUGUUCGGAUUCAUUGGGCGUAAAGGGUGCGUAGGCGGCGCGGUAAGUCGGUUGUGAAAGCCCCGGGCUCAACCUGGGAAUUGCAUUCGAGACUGAAUAGCUAGGGUACGGUAGAGGGAAGCGGAAUUUCCGGUGUAGCGGUGAAAUGCGUAGAUAUCGGAAGGAACAUCAGUGGCGAAAGCGGCUUCCUGGACCAGUACCGACGUUCAGGCACGAAAGCGUGGGGAGCAAACAGG
rnacentral:rRNA from 1 species